AGUUUUGGACUCAAUCCGAUAUCAACUGGUCCAUGAAAUUGGACAAUUCAGGUUCGUACGAAGUUCGUUUUGAAAUGGAGUGGUUUGUGUUUUGCACAGUUUUAGAGACUGGAGUUCACUCAAAAACCACCAAAUGAGUCCUCCUACCAUAUUUAUUAUGAAGUUCCCCAAGUUUUGGACUCAAUCCGAUAUCGACGGGUCCAUGAAAUUGGACAAUUCAGGUUUAUAUGAAGUUCGUUCAUAAAUAGGGCGGUUGGUGUAUUGCAUAGUUGUAGAGAUUGGAUAUCACUCAAAACCCAACAAAUGACUCCUGCCACCAUAUUUUGAUGUUCCCCAAGUUUUAGACUCAAUCCUAUAUCGAUUGGUCCAUGAAAUUGGACAAUUCAGGUUCAUUCGAAGUUCGUUCUGAAAUGGAGUGGUUUGUGUUUUGCAUAGUUUUAGAGAUUGGAGUUCACUCUAAACCAACCAAAUGAUUCCUCCCACCAUAUUAUGAUGUUCCCCAACUUUUGGAAUCAAUCCGAUAUCGAUUGGUCCAAGAAAUUGGACAAUUCAGGUUCAUACGAAGUUCGUUUAGAAAUGGAGUGGUUGGUGUAUUGCGUAGUUCUAGAGAUUGGAUUUCA
rnacentral:lncRNA from 1 species